UACGUAGGUGGCUAGCGUUGUCCGGAUUUACUGGGCGUAAAGAGCGCGCAGGCGGUCGUUCAAGUCGAGUGUGAAAGCCCCCGGCUCAACCGUGGAGGGUCAUUGGAAACUGGGGAACUUGAGUGCAGAAGAGAAAAGCGGAAUUCCACGUGUAGCGGUGAAAUGCGUAGAGAUGUGGAGGAACACCAGUGGCGAAGGCGGCUUUUUGGUCUGUAACUGACGCUGAGGCGCGAAAGCGUGGGGAGCAAACAGG
rnacentral:rRNA from 1 species